rnacentral:rRNA from 1 species
AUACGGAGGUCCCGAGCGUUGUUCGGAAUUACUGGGCGUAAAGGGAGCGCAGGCGGACGGGUCAGUCUGAAGUGGAAAUCCGGGGCUUAACCUCGGACUUGCUUCGGAUACUGCCCGUCUUGAGUUCGUGAGAGGAAGAUGGAAUUCAGGGUGUAGCGGUGAAAUGCUCAGAUAUCCUGAGGAACACCAGUGGCGAAAGCGGUCUUCUGGCACGAAACUGACGCUGAGGCUCGAAAGCGUGGGUAGCAAACAGGAUUAGAUACCCUGGUAGUCCACGCCGUAAACGUUGUGUGCUAGGUGCGGGAGGUAUCGACCCCUUCCGUGCCGCAGUUAACGCAUUAAGCACACCGCCUGGGGAGUACGCCCGCAAGGGUGAA